GACGAACGCUGGCGGCGUGCUUAACACAUGCAAGUCGAACGCGCCUGUCCUCUGGGUUUCUGGUGGGUGGGUGAGUGGCGAACGGGUGAGUAACACGUGAGUAACCUUCCCCCUUCUUCGGGAUAACGGUCUGAAAGGGCUGCUAAUACCGGGUAUUCACUGGUCUCCGCAUGGGGUCUGGUGGAAAGGUUGUUUUCUGGUGGGGGAUGGGCUCGCGGCCUAUCAGCUUGUUGGUGGGGUGAUGGCCCAGCAAGGCUUUGACGGGUAGCCGGGCUGAGAGGGUGCCCGGUAAGAUGGGCGCUGAGAUACGGCCCAGAAUACUGCGCGAGGCAGCAGUGGGGAAAAUUGCACAAUGGGUGCAAGAAUGAUGCGGCGCCGGAGCGUGCGGGAUGGCGGCCUUGGGGUUGUGAACCUCUUUGGCAAGUGGUCACGCCGGGACGUGGGUCGUGGUGAGGGUAGUGGGUAAAGAAGCGCCGGCUAACUACGUG
rnacentral:rRNA from 1 species